CCUACGGGAGGCUGCAGUGGGGAAUAUUGGGCAAUGGAGGCAACUCUGACCCAGCAACGCCGCGUGAAUGAUGAAGGUCUUCGGAUUGUAAAGUUCUGUGAUGGGGGAUGAACACAAUGACGGUACCCCAAUAGCAAGCCACGGCUAACUACGUGCCAGCAGCCGCGGGAAUACGUAGGUGGCAAGCGUUAUCCGGAAUGACUGGGCGUAAAGGGUGCGUAGGUGGUUUAGUAAGUUGGCGGGGUAAUUCCGGGGCUCAACCUCGGCGCUACCGCCAAAACUAUUAGACUAGAGUGGAGGAGGGGUAAGUGGAAUUCCUAGUGUAGCGGUGGAAUUCGUAGAUAUUAGGAGGAACAUCAGGGGCGAAGGCGACUUACUGGACUGUAACUGACACUGAGGCACGAAAGCGUGGGGAGCAAACAGGAUUAGAUACCCUGGUAGUC
rnacentral:rRNA from 1 species